AGCAGCCGCGGUAAUUCCAGCUCCAAUAGCGUAUAUUAAAGUUGUUGCAGUUAAAAAGCUCGUAGUUGAAUUUCGGGAUCAAUUUAUUGGUCGUGCUAUUGUACGUACUGGUAUUAUUGAUUCCUACCUUCUGACGAACCAUGAUGUCAUUAAUUUGGUGUCAUGGGGAAUCAGGACUGUUACUUUGAAAAAUUGAGUGUUUAAAGCAGGCUCACGCUUGAAUACAUUAGCAUGGAAUAACGAAAUAGGACGUUUGAUUCUAUUUUGUUGGUUUCUAGGAUCGACGUAAUGAUUAAUAGGGAUAGUUGGGGGCAUUAGUAUUCAAUUGUCAGAGGUGAAAUUCUUGGAUUUAUUGAAGACUAACUACUGCGAAAGCAUUUGCCUAGGAUGUUUUCAUUAAUCAAGACGAAAGUUAGGGGAUCGAAGACGAUCAGAUACCGUCGUAGUCUUAACCAUAAACUAUGCCGACUAGGGAUGGAUGAUGUUAAUUUUUAAUGACUCAUUCGCGCCUUAAC
rnacentral:rRNA from 1 species